rnacentral:rRNA from 1 species
UACGAAGGGGGCUAGCGUUGCUCGGAAUCACUGGGCGUAAAGCGCACGUAGGCGGCUUCUCAAGUCAGGGGUGAAAUCCUGGAGCUCAACUCCAGAACUGCCUUUGAUACUGAGAGGCUCGAGUCCGGGAGAGGUGAGUGGAACUGCGAGUGUAGAGGUGAAAUUCGUAGAUAUUCGCAAGAACACCAGUGGCGAAGGCGGCUCACUGGCCCGUUACUGACGCUGAGGUGCGAAAGCGUGGGGAGCAAACAGG